rnacentral:misc_RNA from 1 species
AAGACUAUAGACCUGCGGAGUACCUGCGGAAGGAUCAUUAUGGGAAUGUUCUUCAACAUCAACCACCCUUGUGCACCUUUGACCUCGGGGGCCCCUCGGGCUCCCGGGCGUACGAUUCAAAAAUCCUUUUUUGUACUCGAGAACUACCAUAAGUUAUGUUUAACGUGACACAACUUUCAGCAAUGGAUCUCU